AAUAAACAUCCGAUUUUAUUUACAAAGCAUUAAAGCUUCAGCAAGAAGUACCCGAGGCUAAGUCUCCUCUCAUACAAAACUACAGGACAUUAAAAAACGCCGAGGGGAGGGGAGGGUGACAGAAGGGAAAAAAGAAUAUGCAUAUAUUGUACAAAUCGAGAGAAUCAAACUGAAACGGACACAAGGUUUCAGGAGCUGCAAACAAUUCCAGAAGCAUAAAUAAUUAUUAGGAGCUGCUACCAGACACCCUGGCAGGGCUGACGUUGAUUUUCUCAGGAGCCAGUUUAGGAGGCGGACAGAGGCUGAACACCCAAAUGCUCAGGCAGAGGACACCCGGCUACUUUGCAGAAAUAAGGCAGAGGCCGCCUGUAUCACACAGUUUGCAUACUGCUGCAGUGUACAGUAGAGAGAGAAAUGAAAUGGAAAUAAUGUCCGCAAAACAAAAACAUGCCUAGUGACCCACCUACCAA
rnacentral:lncRNA from 1 species